rnacentral:rRNA from 1 species
GAACACCAAAGGCGAAGGCAGUCUACUGGAGCAUCGCUGACACUCAGGGACGAAAGUAUAGGUAUCGAAGCGGAUUAGAUACCCGCGUAGUCUAUACCCUAAACGAUGAAUACUAGACAUUUGGAGUAUCGACCCUCCAAGUGUCGAAGCUAACGCGUUAAGUAUUCCGCCUGGGAAUUACGACCGCAAGGUUAAAACUCAAAGGAAUAGACGGGAGCUCGCACAAGCGGUGGAGCAUGUGGUUUAAUUCGAUACUAAGCGAGGAACCUUACCAAGGCUAGACAUCCAACUGUAGGUCUUUGGAAACUUAGACCGUCUUCGAGAUCGUUGGACAGGUGAUGCGCGGUUGUCGUCAGCUCGUGCCGUGAGGUGUUCCGUUGAGUCGGGAAACGAGCGCAACCCUCAGCGUCAGUUACAAGUGUCUGUCGCGACUGCCUGGGUUAACCAGGAGGAAGGAGAGGACGACGUCAAAUCAGCGUGUUCCUCGACGCCUUGGGCUACACACGUGCUACAAUGGGAAGGACAAUGAGUAGCAACAUCGUAAGAUCAAGCUAAUCUCCUAAACCUUCCCCCAGUUCGGAUAGAGGGCUGAAAUUCGCCCUUUUGAAGCUGGAAUCGCUAGUAAUCGCAGAUCAGCCUCGCUGCGGUGAAUACGUUCUCGAGCUUUGUACACACCGCCCGU